AACCAUGGAAACAAUGGAAACCAUGGAAACCAUGGAAACCAUGGAAACCAUGUUGUUUGAUCCCAUUCCACUGAUUCCACUCCAGCCAUUACCACGAGCCCCGUCCUCCCCAAUUAUUGAUGCCACCAACCCUCCUGUGACAUUUAAACACAGUUUCAUAGAUCGGAAUGGUGAUUUAUUGAAAUGACAAUAACAGCAAUUAAAUUGACCAGGAAUUUGAAGAAAUCUAAUUGUUCCAUAUUAGAUACAAAUGUUUAUCCUGGUCCCAGAUCUGUGUUGCGCUCUUGUACACUCCACCGUGGAGCACAAAACAGAUCUGGGACCAGGAUAAAUAUUUGUAAAUAUAAAUAAAUAUAAGCACAGAUCUGAGAGCAGCCUAACGCAUACUGGCUUUAAGAAGAAGAAGGAUGGACAUUUGUUUACCUGCUAACAGAGCAUCGAUGACAGUGUAGGUUAGACACACACUUAGCAUGGAUGACUGGGUCAGAGCAUCGAGCACAGUGUAGGUUAGACACACACUUAGCAUGGAUGACUGGGUCAGAGCAUCGAGCACAGUGUAGGUUAGACACACACUUAGCAUGGAUGACUGGGUCAGAGCAUCGAGCACAGUGUAGGUUAGACACACACUUAGCAUGGAUGACUGGGUCAGAGCAUCGAGCACAGUGUAGUUUAGACACACACUCACCAUGGAUGACUGGGUCAGAGCAUCGAGCACAGUGUAGUUUAGACACACACUUAGCAUGGAUGACUGGGUCAGAGCAUCGAGCACAGUGUAGGUUAGACACACACUUAGCAUGGAUGACUGGGUCAGAGCAUCGAGCACAGUGUAGUUUAGACACACACUUAGCAUGGAUGACUGGGUCAGAGCAUCGAGCACAGUGUAGUUUAGACACACACUCACCAUGGAU